UACGAAGGGGGCUAGCGUUGCUCGGAAUCACUGGGCGUAAAGCGCACGUAGGCGGAUUGUUAAGUCAGGGGUGAAAUCCUGGAGCUCAACUCCAGAACUGCCUUUGAUACUGACGGUCUUGAGUCCGGGAGAGGUGAGUGGAACUCCGAGUGUAGAGGUGAAAUUCGUAGAUAUUCGGAAGAACACCAGUGGCGAAGGCGGCUCACUGGCCCGGUACUGACGCUGAGGCGCGAAAGCGUGGGGAGCAAACGGG
rnacentral:rRNA from 1 species